ensembl:lncRNA
GCUUAGAUAAGACCUUCACAAAGAUUCUAAUUUAAUUAUAUUAAAUUUCUCUUUGCCUACAGGAAAACUCUUAGCAUUCUAAAUGAACCUCUAUUGGAGGCUUUGAGGAGGCCAUGUCUAGUCAUGUAAGAUGAGAGGGAAACCUGGCUCUUUGAGAGAAAGAUGGAUGACAUCCUAGAGGAACUGCCAUCCUGAAAGGUUAAACACUGCACAAGAAGCCUGGAGAGAGGAGCUAUCUCUUACAUGUCUAGAGGUUGGAAGACCUGAACCUGGAGACUCAAGUAGUGCCACUGCCAGGAAAGGCAAGCAGUCCUUCUUGUACUUCCUUGCCACUUGCUACAGAACUUUCCACUGGGAGCCAUCAAAAGUCAGUACCCACUGGAAGCCAAUGAGUAACCCUUUUUUAAAAAUUCCAUCCUGCUACCUUGAGCCAAAGGACCCAAGCCUCCCACCGGGAAGCAUAGGACCCAAACUCCCACUGGGGGGCAAGAGACCCAAGCUUCCACCGGGAGCAAAGGGACCCAAGCUUCAACUGGGAGCUAAGUGACCCAUGCCUCCCACCGGGAGCCAAGGGACCCAUAUGCCUUCCAUUUCGGGGGCAAAGGGAACCACGUCUCCCACCAGGGUGCAGGGGUUCCAAGUAUCCCACUGAGAGCUAAAGGACCCAUGCCUCCCACUGGUUGCCAAGGGACCCAAGCCUCCCACCAGGAGAUGGGACCCAAGCCUCCCACCCGGAGCUCUGGGACCCAAACCUCAGGCCUCCCACCAAGAGCCAGGACCCAAGCCCUCCACUGGAAACCCAAGGUACAUGUGCCUUAAGCCUCCCACCUAGUGCCAGUAUUGAAGUCUCAGGCUUCUGAUUAUGAGCCAAAAGGACCCGAAGACUAAGCCCUCAACCUUCCUUGGAGGCAGGAACCAAGCCUCAAACCUUCCACUGGGAGCUAAGGAACCCAAUCCUCAGGAUUUUUACCUGGAGCUAAGAGACCCUUUGGCCAGGAGCGAAAGUCUAUAACUUCCUACUGGGAGUGAGGACCUAAGCCUCAAUCUUCCUACUGGAAUCUACCACCAGAUGCUAAUGGACUUAAUCCUGCCACCAGUAGUCAAGGAACCCACAUCUCAGUUCUUUCAUCAGCAGCUAAGGACCCAAGCCUAAAUCCUUCUACCAGGAUUAACCAGGACCCAAAAAUCUAAGCCUUCCCCUGGGAUCCAGGCCUGUAGCCUCAAGCUUCCCAUCUGGAGCAUGGAGCUAGGACCCAAUGAUCCAAUCCUCACAAAGAGAUCUGGGAGCCAGGACCCAAGCCUCAAGUCUCCCAUCAGAAGCCAGGAGAACCAAUCCUCCAUCCAAGGACUGAAGCCUCCUCCUGGGAUUCAGAACCCAACCCAACUCUCAUAAUGAGUUAAGGAACCCAAAGCCUCAAUCCUUUCACUUCAGGGAUGAAACCCAAGCCUUCCACAGGGAUCCAGGGGACCCAAACUCCCAUUAAGUCCUAGGUUUCAACUCUUAUACUACUUAAGCCAGGACCUAACCCAACUAUUGGCAAUCAACA